rnacentral:rRNA from 1 species
UGAAUACGAGACGCUAAGGCGUCGAAGUAGUGUAUAUCAGACUUCCAAGAAAAGCUUGCACUGUCAUAGAUAAAAAAUGCCUGUACCAUAACCGACACAGGUGGGUAGGUAGAGUAUACUAAGGGGCGCGAGAUAACUCUCUCUAAGGAACUCGGCAAAAUAACUCCGUAACUUCGGGAGAAGGAGUGCCUUAUUUAUAAGGUUGCAAUAACAAGAUCCAAGCAACUGUUUAUCAAAAACACAGGUCUCCGCUAAGUCGUAAGACGAUGUAUGGGGGCUGACGCCUGCCCAGUGCCAGAAGGUUAAAGAAGUUGGUUAGCAAUUGCGAAGCUGAUAACUGAAGCCCUGGUGAACGGCGGCCGUAACGAUAACGGUCCUAAGGUAGCGAAAUUCCUUGUCGGGUAAGUUCCGACCCGCACGAAAGGCGUAAUGAUUUGGAUACUGUCUCGGAGAGGGGCUCGGUGAAAUAGACUUGUCUGUGAAGAUGCGGACUACCUGCACCAGGACAGAAAGACCCUAUGAAGCUUUACUGUAACUUGAAAUUAAAAUUGGACUUUAUUCGCGCAGCAUAGGUGGGAGGCGUUGAUUAUAAUCUUGCGGGAUUAUUGGAGCCAUCAGUGAGAUACCACUCUUGUAAUGUUAGAUUUCUAACUUUGAAUCAUUAUCUGGUCAAAGAACAGUUUCAGGCGGGCAGUUUGACUGGGGCGGUCGCCUCCUAAAUGGUAACGGAGGCGUACAAAGGUUUCCUCUGAACGGUUAGAAAUCGUAUCUAGAGUGUAAAGGCAUAAGGAAGCUUGACUGUGAGACCUACAAGUCGAGCAGGGACGAAAGUCGGUCUUAGUGAUCUGACGGUACUGAGUGGAAAGGCCGUCACUCAACGGAUAAAAGUUACUCUAGGAUAACAGGCUGAUCUCCCCCAAGAGUUCACAUCGACGGGGAGGUUUGGCACCUCGAUGUCGGCUCAUCGCAUCCUGGGGCGGUAGUACGUCCCAAGGGUUGGGCUGUUCGCCCAUGAAAGCGGUACGCGAGCUGGGUUCAGAACGUCGUGAGACAGUUCGGUCCAUAUCCGGUGUAGGCGUUAGAAUAUUGAGAGGAGCCUUCUUUAGUACGAGAGGACCGAGAAGGACAUACCUCUGGUGUACCAGUUAUCGUGCCAACGGUAAACGCUGGGUAGCUAUGUAUGGAGUGGAUAACCGCUGAAAGCAUCUAAGUGGGAAGCCCACCUCAAGAUAAGUAUUC